rnacentral:tRNA from 1 species
GAGGGUGUAGCUCAGUGGUAGAGCAUGUGCUUAGCAUGCACAAGGUCCUGGGUUCCAUCCCCAGUACUUCCA